rnacentral:snRNA from 1 species
ACGCUCACUUUCGCAGCACAUAUACUAAAAUUGGAACAAUACAGAGACAAUUAGCAUGGCCUCUGUGCAAGGAUGACAUGUCACUCAUGAAGCAUUACAUAUCUUU